GCCCCUAUGGCGUAGUGGUAGCGCGUGUCACUUGUAUUACAUUCUGCAAGAACAUGACAAGGUCUCUCGUUCGAUCCGGGAUGGGGGCA
rnacentral:tRNA from 1 species